GAUGAACGCUAGCUACAGGCUUAACACAUGCAAGUCGAGGGACCGGCGCACGGGUGAGUAACACGUAUCCAACCUGCCCUUUACUCGGGGAUAGCCUUUCGAAAGUAAGAUUAAUACCCGAUAUAAAGGAUGGGGAUGCGUUCCAUUAUGUUGUUGGUGAGGUAACGGCUCACCAAGCCUUCGAUGGAGAGGGGUUCUGAGAGGAAGGUACCCCAGAUUGGAACUGAGACUCGGUCCAAACGCCUACGGGAGGCAGCAGUGAGGAAUAUUGGUCAAUGGGCGUUAGCCCUAACCAGCCAAGUAACGUGAAGGAUGAAGGCUUAUAGGUCGUAAACUUCAUUUAUAUAAGAAUAUGUAUUAUAAGAAUAAGGAACGACUAGCUCCGUGACAGCAGCCGCGGUAAUUC
rnacentral:rRNA from 1 species